UUGUCCAAUGAAUCAUUUCUAUUCACUAUGGCCUCAAGGAUUGUGGCCUUCGAUCC
rnacentral:lncRNA from 1 species